rnacentral:tRNA from 1 species
GGGCCGAUAGCUCAAUGGGCAGAGCAGCGGACUUUUAAUCCGUAGACCAGAGUUCGAACCUCUGUCGGCCCA